GGAAAUAACUCUGCAAAGUUAAACUCGUAUAAUAACCACUGAACCUCAGUUAAGGCCCUAACCGGACAAGGAUUAGGGAAAAAGGCUUACUCGAUGGCUCGCGUUUAGCGAUCCUAGAGACGACAGUCAUAGACUCUGAGACAAUAAGGCAGUGGCUUUCCCAGUAAGCUUUAAGGCAGUCUUGGGAAAGGAACAGGAGGGGCCAGGGGGACCUUCUGUUCAAAGCGGUACUCGAUAGGGUGGUUCCGUACGAAAGGGAAAUUGGGAUCUCUGACAUCUUGAAUUUUCACCUUUAGGGGGGUAAUUUCAAUGACAGUAAGAGUCCCCUUUCGGGGGAAAUCCAGGAGAGGCUUAUCGCCCUCGUAUGCGUUUCUGUUGUUGUUUCUGUAUGUGUUAAGUCGGCUCGUAGAGGCGGCUUAGCUGCUAAAGUCUUACAAGCAAUACAAGGCUCAAUAAGGCUCGUAUUUCGGGUCCUAUUGGAAAGUGUAUUGUUGUAGACAGGGUUACUAGUAUAAAUGCUAUCAAGCCCGGAGGCAGCCCCUUUGGGAGCUGAUCCGGAGAUAGAGCAGCUCCUAGUAAGAGAAAGUAGAGCAACAACUGCUAAAGAAGCUCAGUAGCAGCAAGAGCGGGCUUCCCUUACUCUAUUUCCGAAGCGGAAAUAGUCGGGAAGUAGAUAGAGCGGACCGUUGCCCCCUCCGAGCUUUGCUCGUCUCCCCUCGGGGGAGGUUGGGCUCAAAAGUGGUCUUCCCUUAUUCUAUUUCCUCGGAGGAAAUAGUCGGGUCGCAAAACGCAAGUACCGUGCAAACAAGAGUUGGCUUCCGCGCGCGCGCGUAAGAGCUGAACGCUUUCCCCUCCGAGCUGCGCUCUUCCUCCCUCGGGGAGGUUAGCUCAUUAGCUCAGUAGCUCCUUAGCUCGUAGCUCAUUAGCUCAGUAGCUCAGUAGCUCAGGUUUUAAAGUUGGAAGUAGCUACUAGCCUGUCUCAGGGCUCCGAGCGCUGCUGCAGCCCAAACAUACCGCAGCGCUCUCCGGUCCCUUCGCGAAGCAAUUCGCUCUGUUAGGCAUAUGUAGACUUAUGUGGGCUGGCUUGUAUUCUUAUAUGAAACCUUUCCUGUGAGAUCGGUCGUUACUCCAACCCUGGAGUAACUUCCCUUCCAGAGUGUUAACUCACAUAUGCUUUUUCCGGACCCUAUGUAGUUAGGAGUUUUGUAUUUGUUGAAGCUAGUAGUCUCUAGCGGCCGUACCUGUUCAGUUAUCUUAUAAGUUCCGGACUUAGAUACAGGGAAAUAACUCUGCAAAGUUAAACUCGUAUAAUAACCACUGAACCUCAGUUAAGGCCCUAACCGGACAAGGAUUAGGGAAAAAGGCUUACUCGAUGGCUCGCGUUUAGCGAUCCUAGAGACGACAGUCAUAGACUCUGAGACAAUAAGGCAGUGGCUUUCCCAGUAAGCUUUAAGGCAGUCUUGGGAAAGGAACAGGAGGGGCCAGGGGGACCUUCUGUUCAAAGCGGUACUCGAUAGGGUGGUUCCGUACGAAAGGGAAAUUGGGAUCUCUGACAUCUUGAAUUUUCACCUUUAGGGGGGUAAUUUCAAUGACAGUAAGAGUCCCCUUUCGGGGGAAAUUCAAGAGAGGCUUAUCGCCCUCGUAUGCGUUUCUGUUGUUGUUUCUGUAUGUGUUAAGUCGGCUCGUAGAGGCGGCUUAGCAGCUAAAGUCUUACAAGCAAUACAAGGCUCAAUAAGGCUCGUAUUUCGGGUCCUAUUGGAAAGUGUAUUGUUGUAGACAGGGUUACUAGUAUAAAUGCUAUCAAGCCCGGAGGCAGCCCCUUUGGGAGCUGAUCCGGAGAUAGAGCAGCUCCUAGUAAGAGAAAGUAGAGCAACAACUGCUAAAGAAGCUCAGUAGCAGCAAGAGCGGGCUUCCCUUACUCUAUUUCCGAAGCGGAAAUAGUCGGGAAGUAGAUAGAGCGGACCGUUGCCCCCUCCGAGCUUUGCUCGUCUCCCCUCGGGGGAGGUUGGGCUCAAAAGUGGUCUUCCCUUAUUCUAUUUCCUCGGAGGAAAUAGUCGGGUCGCAAAACGCAAGUACCGUGCAAACAAGAGUUGGCUUCCGCGCGCGCGCGUAAGAGCUGAACGCUUUCCCCUCCGAGCUGCGCUCUUCCUCCCUCGGGGAGGUUAGCUCAUUAGCUCAGUAGCUCCUUAGCUCGUAGCUCAUUAGCUCAGUAGCUCAGUAGCUCAGGUUUUAAAGUUGGAAGUAGCUACUAGCCUGUCUCAGGGCUCCGAGCGCUGCUGCAGCCCAAACAUACCGCAGCGCUCUCCGGUCCCUUCGCGAAGCAAUUCGCUCUGUUAGGCAUAUGUAGACUUAUGUGGGCUGGCUUGUAUUCUUAUAUGAAACCUUUCCUGUGAGAUCGGUCGUUACUCCAACCCUGGAGUAACUUCCCUUCCAGAGUGUUAACUCACAUAUGCUUUUUCCGGACCCUAUGUAGUUAGGAGUUUUGUAUUUGUUGAAGCUAGUAGUCUCUAGCGGCCGUACCUGUUCAGUUAUCUUAUAAGUUCCGGACUUAGAUACAGGGAAAUAACUCUGCAAAGUUAAACUCGUAUAAUAACCACUGAACCUCAGUUAAGGCCCUAACCGGACAAGGAUUAGGGAAAAAGGCUUACUCGAUGGCUCGCGUUUAGCGAUCCUAGAGACGACAGUCAUAGACUCUGAGACAAUAAGGCAGUGGCUUUCCCAGUAAGCUUUAAGGCAGUCUUGGGAAAGGAACAGGAGGGGCCAGGGGGACCUUCUGUUCAAAGCGGUACUCGAUAGGGUGGUUCCGUACGAAAGGGAAAUUGGGAUCUCUGACAUCUUGAAUUUUCACCUUUAGGGGGGUAAUUUCAAUGACAGUAAGAGUCCCCUUUCGGGGGAAAUCCAGGAGAGGCUUAUCGCCCUCGUAUGCGUUUCUGUUGUUGUUUCUGUAUGUGUUAAGUCGGCUCGUAGAGGCGGCUUAGCUGCUAAAGUCUUACAAGCAAUACAAGGCUCAAUAAGGCUCGUAUUUCGGGUCCUAUUGGAAAGUGUAUUGUUGUAGACAGGGUUACUAGUAUAAAUGCUAUCAAGCCCGGAGGCAGCCCCUUUGGGAGCUGAUCCGGAGAUAGAGCAGCUCCUAGUAAGAGAAAGUAGAGCAACAACUGCUAAAGAAGCUCAGUAGCAGCAAGAGCGGGCUUCCCUUACUCUAUUUCCGAAGCGGAAAUAGUCGGGAAGUAGAUAGAGCGGACCGUUGCCCCCUCCGAGCUUUGCUCGUCUCCCCUCGGGGGAGGUUGGGCUCAAAAGUGGUCUUCCCUUAUUCUAUUUCCUCGGAGGAAAUAGUCGGGUCGCAAAACGCAAGUACCGUGCAAACAAGAGUUGGCUUCCGCGCGCGCGCGUAAGAGCUGAACGCUUUCCCCUCCGAGCUGCGCUCUUCCUCCCUCGGGGAGGUUAGCUCAUUAGCUCAGUAGCUCCUUAGCUCGUAGCUCAUUAGCUCAGUAGCUCAGUAGCUCAGGUUUUAAAGUUGGAAGUAGCUACUAGCCUGUCUCAGGGCUCCGAGCGCUGCUGCAGCCCAAACAUACCGCAGCGCUCUCCGGUCCCUUCGCGAAGCAAUUCGCUCUGUUAGGCAUAUGUAGACUUAUGUGGGCUGGCUUGUAUUCUUAUAUGAAACCUUUCCUGUGAGAUCGGUCGUUACUCCAACCCUGGAGUAACUUCCCUUCCAGAGUGUUAACUCACAUAUGCUUUUUCCGGACCCUAUGUAGUUAGGAGUUUUGUAUUUGUUGAAGCUAGUAGUCUCUAGCGGCCGUACCUGUUCAGUUAUCUUAUAAGUUCCGGACUUAGAUACAGGGAAAUAACUCUGCAAAGUUAAACUCGUAUAAUAACCACUGAACCUCAGUUAAGGCCCUAACCGGACAAGGAUUAGGGAAAAAGGCUUACUCGAUGGCUCGCGUUUAGCGAUCCUAGAGACGACAGUCAUAGACUCUGAGACAAUAAGGCAGUGGCUUUCCCAGUAAGCUUUAAGGCAGUCUUGGGAAAGGAACAGGAGGGGCCAGGGGGACCUUCUGUUCAAAGCGGUACUCGAUAGGGUGGUUCCGUACGAAAGGGAAAUUGGGAUCUCUGACAUCUUGAAUUUUCACCUUUAGGGGGGUAAUUUCAAUGACAGUAAGAGUCCCCUUUCGGGGGAAAUCCAGGAGAGGCUUAUCGCCCUCGUAUGCGUUUCUGUUGUUGUUUCUGUAUGUGUUAAGUCGGCUCGUAGAGGCGGCUUAGCUGCU
rnacentral:lncRNA from 1 species